AGUGGCGGACGGGUGAGUAACACGUAAGUAACCUGCCUCAGAGAGGGGGAUAACCAUUGGAAACGAUGGCUAAUACCGCAUGGGUUUGCGAUGGCGGGAGCGAUGGCAAAUAAAGCUAAGGCGCUCUGAGAGGGGCUUGCGUCCGAUUAGCUAGUUGGUGGGGUAAAGGCCUACCAAGGCGAUGAUCGGUAGCUGGUCUGAGAGGACGAUCAGCCACACGGGAACUGAGACACGGUCCCGACUCCUACGGGGGGCAGCAGUGAGGAAUAUUCGUCAAUGGGGGGAACCCUGAACGAGCAACGCCGCGUGGAGGAAGAAGGCCCUUGGGUUGUAAACUCCUUUUCUGUGGGAAGAGGAAGGACGGUACCACAGGAAUCAGUCACGGCUAACUACGUGCCAGCAGCCGCGGUAAUACGUAGGUGGCAAGCGUUAUCCGGAAUUACUGGGCGUAAAGCGCACGCAGGUGGUCACUUAAGUCUGAUGUGAAAGCUCCUGGCUUAACUGGGAGAGGUCGUUGGAAACUGGGUGACUUGAGGCAAUGAGAGGGGUGUGGAGUUCCCGGUGUAGUGGUGGAAUGCGUAGAUAUCGGGAGGAAUACCAGUGGCGGAAGCGGCACCCUGGCAUUGGCCUGACGCUCAGGUGCGAAAGCGUGGGGAGCAAACGGGAUUAGAUACCCCGGUAGUCCACGCUGUAAACGAUGAAUACUAGGUGUGG
rnacentral:rRNA from 1 species